rnacentral:rRNA from 1 species
GAUGAACGCUGGCGGCGUGCCUAAUACAUGCAAGUCGAGCGAACAGACGAGGAGCUUGCUCCUCUGACGUUAGCGGCGGACGGGUGAGUAACACGUUGAUAACCUACCUAUAAGACUGGGAUAACUUCGGGAAACCGGAGCUAAUACCGGAUAAUAUAUUUAACCGCAUGGUUCAAUAGUGAAAGACGGUUUUGCUGUCACUUAUAGAUGGAUCCGCGCCGCAUUAGCUAGUUGGUAAGGUAACGGCUUACCAAGGCAACGAUGCGUAGCCGACCUGAGAGGGUGAUCGGCCACACUGGAACUGAGACACGGUCCAGACUCCUACGGGAGGCAGCAGUAGGGAAGCUUCCGCAAUGGGCGAAAGCCUGACGGAGCAACGCCGCGUGAGUGAUGAAGGUCUUCGGAUCGUAAAACUCUGUUAUUAGGGAAGAACAAAUGUGUAAGUAACUAUGCACGUCUUGACGGUACCGAAUCAGAAAGCCACGGCUAACUACGU